UCAUAAGCACUAUUGAUACUUAAGCAUUUUGUUUGUGGAUGUAGCGUUUGAGGGUUUCACUUAUAUAUAUUUAGUUUAAGAUAAAGCAGUUUUUCCUCGUUUUAUUCUUGAUUUGCCUUUGUGUUUUAUAUUUUCAUUGAUUGGGCUGAGAUUUAGUGAAGUCUCUAGCAUGAGCUUUUAAGUUAGGCUAUCCUUUUGUAAACUACAAGUGGUGGUUUUAUAGCAUGGGUACGGAGUGUAGCAUGCCGGCCUAGUACCAUAGUGGAGUAGUUCAGAGGCUUGAUAUGACACUAGACUGACACAUGGUACAGUUGUUGUGCCGACUCCAGCAGUGUACCAUAUGUUUGUGCAUGGGUAUACUGUACCAACUGACAUGUACAGAUUCAUUUUAUCAUUUUCAACAAGGAGCUUUAUAUAAUUAUUGAUGAACUAUGUUCAACAAGGAGCUUUAUGUUGUGUGUAUUUCGCCCCAGGCUUUGUUUUCGCCUGCUGUACUUGUAGUGUUGUCUCAGAAGCAGUAAUAUUGCAUCUUGAUUCUCUUUAAUUGUGGUCUUCAUGUUGACAUGGUAUUUUCUCCUCUUUUCCUUUUAAUGAUCGUUCAAGCUGCCUAAACUGCAAUUAUGUUUAUUUUCUUUAUAGGCUUCACAUCUAGGUUUCCAGGAAGUUUAUUUAGAAAGAAUGGUUAGUGGAGUAAAAGAUAUUGGGCCAUUGAGCUUAUUUAAUUUUGCACAUUUAAGGCUGACACUUGCUUUAAGAUCUUGUUCUAAAUAAAAUUUCUGGUGAAGAGUACAGACAAGUGGUUUGAUACAGAUGCCAGAAACGGUGGCAGAUAUUGCUUCUUUGCUAACAACUGAAGAUGGACAACUACCUCUUGAAGGUACAAGGAAGUCAAAUCUGAAUCACAUGCCCUUAAUCUUGGUUCUCAUAGAUGCAGCAUAUCUUUUGGAUUGAUAUAGGAUACGAAAAUUAUGUAAAUAAUGGAUGGGGGACGAAGAGAUGAAAGAGCAAGGAGACGGGAAUAUAAUAGGAUAGGGAAAAGAGGAGCACUAACACAGUCAAGAAGAAAGAUUAAAUGUCAAGAUAAAAAGACAUUCUCAGAUUGGAAUGCAUGCGGAAGAAAAGCAGUUGGUGUAAUGGAAUAUCCUUCAGCAAUUAUUUUUUACGCUAUGGUAAUUCCUGAACUCAUAAGCACUUUUGAUACUUAAACAUUUUUUUUGUGGAUGUAGCGUUUGAGUGUUUCACUUAUAUAUAUUUAGUUUAAGAUAAAAACAGCCCCUUAGCAGUUUUUCCUCGUUUUAUUCUUGAUUUGCCUCUGCGUUUUAUCUUUUCAUUGAUUGGGCUGAGAUUUAGUGAAGUCUCUAGCAUGAGCUUUUAAGUUAGGCUAUCCUUUUGUAAACUACAAGUGGUGGUUUUAUAGCAUGGGUACGGAGUGUAGCAUGCCGACCUAGUACCAUAGUGGAAUAGUUCAGAGGCUUGAUACGACACUAUACUGACACAUGGUACAGUCGACUCCAGCAGUGUACCAUAUGUUUGUGCAUGGGUAUACUGUACCAACUGACAUGUACAGAUUCAUUUUAUCAUUUUCAACAAGGAGCUUUAUAUAAUUAUUGAUGAACUCUGUUCAACAAGGAGCUUUAUGUUGUGUGUAUUUCGCCCCAGGCUUUGUUUUCACCUGCUGUACUUGUAGUGUUGUCUCAGAAGCAGUAAUAUUGCAUCUUGAUUCUCUUUAAUUGUGGUCUUCAUGUUGACAUGGUAUUUUCUCCUCUUUUCCUUUUAAUGGUCGUUCAAGCUGCCUAAACUGCAAUUAUGUUUAUUUUCUUUAUAGGCUUCAAUCUAGGUUUCCAGGAAGUUUAUUUAGAAAGAAUGAUUAAAGGAGUAAAAGAUAUUGGGCCUUUGAGCUUAUUUAAUUUUGCAGAUUUAAGGCUGACACUUGCUUUAAGAUCUUGUUCUAAAUAAAAUUUCUGGUGAAGAGUACAGACAAGUGGUUUGAUACAGACGCCAGAAACGGUGGCAGAUAUUGCUUCUUUGUUAACAACUGAAGAUGGACAACUACCUCUUGAAGGUACAAGGAAGUCAAAUCUGAAUCACAUGCCCUUAAUCUUGGUUCUCAUAGAUGCAGCAUAUCUUUUGGAUUGAUAUAGGAUACGAAAAUUAUGUAAAUAAUGGAUGGGGGACGAAGAGAUGAAAGAGCAAGGAGACAGGAAUAUAAAAGGAUAGGGAAAAGAGGAGCACUAGCACAGUCAAGAAGAAAGAUUAAAUGUCAAGAUAAAAAGACAUUCUCAGAUUGGAAUGCAUGCGGAAGAAAAGCAGUUGGUGUAAUGGAAUAUCUUUCAGCAAUUAUUUUUUACGCUAUGGUAAUUCCUGAACUCAUAACCACUUUUGAUACUUAAGCAUUUUGUUUUUGGAUGCAGCGUUUGAGUGUUUCAUUUAUAUAUAUUUAGUUUAAGAUAAAGACAGCCCCUUAGCAGUUUUUCCUCGUUUUAUUCUUGAUUUGCCUUUGUGUUUUAUCUUUUCAUUGAUUGGGCUGAGAUUUAGUGAAGUCUCUAGCAUGAGCUUUUAAGUUAGGCUAUCCUUUUGUAAACUACAAGUGGUGGUUUUAUAGCAUGGGUACAGAGUGUAGCAUGCUGACCUAGUACCAUAGUGGAAUAGUUCAGAGGCUUGAUACGACACUAUACUGACACAUGGUACAGUUGUUGUACUAACUUCAGCGAUGUACUAUAUGUUUGUGCAUGGGUAUACUGUGCCAACUGACUUGUACAGAUAAACUACUGGAAUGGUCCAUGGUACCAGGAAUGCUAACUUUGGUUUGAAGAUUAUUGUUGGUUUUACUAGAUUACAUUAAAGAUUCUAAGUUCUUUUCUGUUUUAUGUUAGUGAUCCAUGACAAUACUGAAAUUGACGCACAAUAAAAAUGGUAGAAGCCAACAAGAUGGUGGAAGAAAUGAGAAUUUUGAGAUAGAUGCAUAAUAAAACUAGGAAGGAGAAGUUGAGAAACAAGAGUACUGUAGGAGAAUUAGGAUAUCUUCGUGUUGUAAAGAAUCUGUGUUUAGAGAAAGUAUUUGUCAGCAUAUAGUGUUUUUUACCCCUCAGUUCCUGUUUUUGUUGUAAUAAAAUUUUAAACCUUUUGUUGGUACAAGACUACAAGUAUCAUAAGUUCACUUUCUUUUAGGUUACUUCUGUAGUAUGUCUGUGGGAAAGAGUAGCACAUAUCCACUGACACCAUGUUUUUGUGGCAAAAGCAUAAAUCAAAUAAGCUAAUUUGAAGAGGCUCUAAGGUCUCAUAUCUUUGCAAGUUGAUAAUCCAUGACUUAAAUUGUUCAUGUCACUUGAUUUGAAAUUCCGCUCCUAUAGUCAUCUAACAGCCAAACCAUGGAUCAGUGACUUGCCACUCCACUCAAAUGGCUGGUUAUCAGGAGUUUUUCUUGUUCAGCACAGGCUUCAGAAUUUUGGGGGCCAACGCCUUGACUAUACCACGUUGGUAUUGUUUGAAAAAAAUCUCAUAUGUGACAUGAUGCCUUAACAAAGGGAUAAAUUGCAUUCUUGCCUUGAAAGAUCAACAUAAUUCCAUGAAACAAAGUCAGCUUUCAAUAUUUAAGUAAUUUGUUUCCCUCUCAGUUUGCUGCAUUCCCAUUCGAAAACAAUGUAUUACUGUGUACAAUCAAUGGGGUUGGUCUCUGGUCAUUAAUUUUACAAUUUUCCUCUGUUACAAAUGUGGUAAUGAAAAUGGAUAAAUAAAUGUGUUCUGAUUGUUGGGAGGUGUUCUCCAUGUGUUAGUCUUAGCUAUUACAUUUUGAGAGAGAAUGAGAAAGAAUGUAUAUCUUGAAAGAAUUACAAUUGAAGUAUUGCCUGAUGAUAUAUGCAUAGACAAAAUGUAAAGUUUGGCUUGAAACAUAUCUGAAACCAGUUGAGUUUCAAUGAUUUCAGCUAAUUUCAUCCCUAACCAAUUAAUAUCAUUCUAGCUCUGGCCAGUUUCAGUUUUCUUAGCUCAAAUUGCACAAGUACAAGGCUGAAGACCUUAUCUUAUCAUUUUCAUUUAUUCAUUUUUUAGCUUGAUCUCCUUAGGAAGCAUUGUUGCAAUAUUAAACUCGAAUCUGCAUGAUUUUAGCACAUCAGAAGUAAAUAGCUGUUGUCUUGCCAGAAUUUCAAGGAAAUGGAACAUAUAUUUUUGUUUUUUUUCUAUUUAAGCUUUUAACUUGCCCAAACAAAACAACAUCAUGCCGUCUUACUUUCCUUUCAUUAAAACAUUACAAAGUAAUUGAAAUGCACCAUUAAGAAUUAUUUGGAAAUGUUAAAAAUUAGUUAUUUCAACAAUUUUUUUGCAUAUAUUUGCUAUAACCACUCGAUCACAAGUUACAAUUUACAUUUGGUAUCUUUAUGGUUUGCUAGCUUGUAUUUUCCAUUUUUAUUUUUCAGUUUCUGGUUCUUUUUAGCAAUAUUUUAGACUUGAGAUUCAGGUCUGACAACCAUACAUGGCAACACAAAAAAUGAAACUAAAAACUUGUGUGCAAGUAUAAGUUGGUUGUUUUCUAUCAAUUUUUAACAUUUCCUAAUCCUUUUUGUAAAUUUUAAAUUUGAGUUGAAACUAAAACAAUAAUUUUCAAAAAUUGAACCCAUUCGACAGAAUUGUAGCAAGAUCAUAAACUGAGCUUUUAGACUUUGCAUGCAAUGAAUUGUUUUUCCUUUCUUUUAUGGUAAGGAGUUCGUAAAUAAUUGGCAUCUUUCAUAUAUGAAAUUAAUUCAAGACAUCACAUGCCUUUGUGUCUUAAUAACUCCAUUUUUUAUAUGAGUUUGUAGUAAUUGGCCAUGUUGUGAUCUUGCUAAUUGUGCUUACUGUAAAGAAACUGUAGAAAAAGCUUUUGGAGAGAAUUCUUAGAAUUUAAGUAUUAGUUUCAGUCCUAGACGUUCCAAUUUAAUCAUCCAUUUUGAAUGCAAAAUGUCCUUCCUAAGGCUAAUAGAAGAGUACUGUAGGAUAUAAGGCUAGUUAUGUACGUUUAAACCCCUUGUCAAUAAUGGUAGCAUGACAUGCCUUACUUGAAAUCAUUCACUUGCCUGGUCUAAUUGUUUGGCUCGUUGGAUGUCAAAUGGCAGCACUUUUGGCAUGUUUAAAUAUUGAUCAACACCUUAAAUCUUUAUUGCACAUGUUUGAAGGAAAAUGAUCAUACAUAGGCUCAACAUAGUUUAACGUUAUCAAAUAUAUAGUUGCAAGGUCCAUAUUUUUCCUACUUAUUAUCUUUUUCUUUUUUUUAAUAUCUAAUUUGAUAUAUCUAGGCUAUCCAAAUUGCAUUCAAAAGCAUGAGUAGAUAUUAUGCUCGCCAAACUAAUGUAAACAACACUAUACAUGUAAUUGAAUAGGAUAUUAUAUCUUAGACUUUUGUAUACAAUCGAGAUAGAAUGACUAAUUAACAUAGACGAUUUGAAGUAUAUUGACAUUUCCAUAAUCUUAAUGAUCCAACCGUUUCUCAAUUAUUUAUUGAUAUAAAUCAUUACAUACCUUUCAAAUUUUCAUGUUAAUGACAACCAAGGCGGUAGAUCCAUUACUGAAGACAAGGUUAAUUUGGAAUUGCAUAAUAUGUGAGCAAUGUUGACCCAUGCAUGUAUGAACAUACCAUUCGUUUAGUCUCUCAGGAAAUAUUAGUACUGUUGCUCAUCUAUGUUGGUAUUCGUUGACUCAACUAGUGCAAACUUACUAGAUUGCUAUAUUUCAUACGCUGAAUUGCCAUAAUUCCCAUGAAUGUAUGAGUUACAUUGCUUGUCGGUCCUAUGAGGCAUGCAUUUGGUUGUGCACUACAAAAGUGAGUGGAGCAAGAAGACAAGUUUUUUGUGUCAAAAUCUUAUUGAUUAUUAUGAAAAUGGGAAAGAAAUACCUCUAUCAUGAGAACGAUGACACCCAAACUCCACUAUAUUGGUCCCCGUACAGAUCAACAAGAGGCCUUCUUUGUAACCUAUUCCUGAGGAUGUGCUAUGGAUACAUGAUGCCUUUCAUUGCUGCUCCAUUGGAAAUUUCAUUAUUUAUGAUCCUCUUUUGGUAUGGCUAAGCAAGCAGCCUUAACCAUGCCAUUAACAAAUGCUGACAUCUGUCUUCAGCCUUCUUGCUAUCAUCAGGUAAUAAAUAGAGAUUUGGAGAGGAGGGGGCUCCUGGGUUCAAGGUGCCAACUGACCAUUUUGAUAAAUGCGUCUUGGUAUUCAUAAGACUUGGAGAAGGUCAUAUUACAGACGACUACAUGAAGUCCCUUGCGAAAACCCUUGAAAUAUGUGGUGUUAAGGUCCGCCGUAUCGGUAUCGGUCGCCGGCCGGACCGGUAUGGUACCGGUUCGGUCCGUACCGUUCGGUACCGGUACCGUACCGACACGGUACGGCGAGCCAGGAAUUUGGGUUCUAUUUUUUUUUUUAAAUGUUGUCGCUGUUGGAUCUUAAAUUAAGUAAACUUUGAUGUUUUUUUAUUGCUUUUUUCAUGAGUUUUGAUAUUUCUAUGUUUAAAUUUAGGGUUGAAAUUUGAAACAUAGAUAAUGCAUGUUAUUACUUUCUCCCGUUCCAAAUGAUAAAAUGAUACACAUAAAAUAUCUUCAAAAUAAGAUACAAUCAUUUACAUACAUUUAAAGCACUCACGGAUAUCUAAAUUCGGGACGAGUGCCGAUGGCUCUCGUAGAUAUACGGAUCAUAAGUAUAGUCAGGAGGAGGCAAAUCAACCCAAUCAGAAGGAACGCGCGCCAGGUUAUAAGAACUAUCGGAUCUCUCGCUCACGCUCUGGCUCUGAGAGGUGUCCUCUGAUUAUGUAGGGGCCCAUCCAAAUAUGGCGGAAGCAAAAUCCGAUGCACUAUAUCAGCUGGUACGACAGACCACUGUUAAGUAUAUUAAGGCUCUGUUUGGGAUUGCUGUUGAUAGUAGAGUGUUAGCUAGUUGAGCUUUUAACAAAAAACUCUUUGCUAUUUGGUAAUUAUGCCAUAGAACUUAUACGACUAUUUGGUAACCAAAUUAAGAAAGUGCUUUUAGCAUGACUAA